AACCAGGAUCCGUCUGAUUGAAUCCAACGUCUGAUUGAAUCCAACGGCAUAAGAUAGAUCUCGCGGCACUUUGCCCUUCACCUUCUCUCUCUCCCUCUAUCUCUCUUCGCGAUCAAUGUAAUUGAAUCAAGCCCUAAUCAGACCUCUACACUGUCAACAAAUCCAUCAAUUUCUUACCAAAUUCCCCUUUCUAAUCACAAUCAAAUCCCUGAAAUCACCAGAAUUCAGAGAAAUUGGAUCGAGGAUAGUGAAAGUGGGACGAUGAACUUUUUGCUGCGGCAAAGCCCUAACGCCGCCGCAGCAGCAGCAACGCCAGCAACAACACCAGCAAACGCCGAUCAACUUCCACCGGUUUCGCCGUGGUUGAAGAAAACUCCGUCGCAGAGUGUGACGACACUGGAGGGAUUGAUUGCGGAAGAUAAGUCGCAUUUAGUGGAUCAUUCCACUGCAAGUAAUCGUGAUAGUUUAACUGGUGAGAAUGGUAUUAUGAGUUCCGCAAGUAUUAAGGAUUUCGCUCCGCUUGCUGAUAAGCAUGUAGACGUUGCCGAGGAUGAAGGGUGGAUCACCAUUCCUCAUGAGAAACUUCCUGACGAUUGGGCUGGUGCUCCAGAUAUUCAGUCGUUCCACUCUCUUGACCGUUCUUUUGUUUUUCCUGGGGAACAGGUUCAUAUCUUAGCAUGUUUAUCUGCAUCCAAACAAGACACUGAAAUCAUAACCCCAUUCAAAGUUGCUGCUGUGAUGAAUAAAAAUGGUUACACACAAGGUUCUAAGGACCAAAAUGGAAAUGUUGCAGAACUAGAAUCACCUUCUGGAGCUCAGCCAGCUGGGUUUGAUGAUAAUCUAGAUGCAAAAAAUGUAAAUAAGCAUCAAGUAGACGUAUCUGCGAGUGAGUCUUACCUUAGAAUGGAGAAUCAUAGAAGACAAGUGCAAACGUUGCUGCAGAGGUUUAAGGACUCCCAUUUUUUUGUGCGAAUUUCUGAGGCAGGAGAGCUUCUAUGGUCAGACAGAAGCACAUCAGAAGCACCUGAGACGGAAGAUGACGCUGAUAGUAUGGAGAACAAUAAAGCUGCUGGCUCAAGAACCUCAAUAAGUGCAGUUAUUGAUAGUGGAAGGUUUGAUGCUCGGGCUUCUGGUGGUGUGGCGAGAAAUUCUGUUAAGUGUUAUUCUCUUGCUAAUGGAGACAUAGUGGUUCUUUUACAAGUGAAUGUUGGUGUUGAUUCUUUGAGAGAUCCUAUACUAGAGAUUCUUCAGUUUGAGAAACAUAAUGACAGAACUACGGCUUUAGAAAGUGAUUUACCUGUCAAGGAAGAACAUAGCACAUGUGGGGAACUGUUGAAAUGGUUGCUUCCUUUGGACAACUCUCAGCUUCCUGUAAACCGACCUUUAUCCCCACCCUUACUCAAUUCAUCCCAUAAAACAAGCUUUUCAGGUUCGAGUGGUUCACAGCUUUUUUCUUUUGGUCACUUUAGAAGUUAUUCUAUGUCGUCACUACCACAAAAUACUGCACCUUCUGCAUCACCGUCAUCAGUUUCUUCUGCUUCUUCGAAGCCAAAUUUGGAUUUAGAAGACUGGAAUCGUUUUGGGUCACAAAAAUCCCUGAAGAGCCCGAGAAGUGGAAGCCAGGGUUUGCUGUCCUUUCGUGGAGUUACAUUAGAGCCUGAAAGAUUCUCUGUUUGCUGUGGACUGGAGGGAAUUUACAUACCAGGAAGAAGGUGGAGGAAGCAGCUUGAAAUUAUUCAACCUGUUGACAUUCACUCAUUUGCUGCAAACUGCAAUACGGAUGACAUGCUUUGUGUUCAGAUAAAGAAUAUAUGUCCAGCGCAUGUUCCAGAUAUUGUUGUAUACAUAGAUGCUAUAACUGUUAUUUUAGAAGAGGCAUCAAAGGAGGCAGACCGGCCUUUGUCUGUUCCAAUUGCAUGUGUUGAAGCUGGAACCGGCCAAACUCUGCCAAAUUUGGCUCUGAGGAGAGGUGAAGAGCACUCGUUUAUUCUCAAGCCAGCAAUUUCAGCCUUAAAGAAGUCGAAGAUACCUGAUGAUAAACUUACUAAGUUGCAUUCACGAGCUGGUAGCAAACCAGCAAGUUUUCGGCUGCCUCCCGUAGCUGUUGAAGAAACAAAGAAUAUAUCUACCCCUCAUAAGUAUGCCAUAUUGAUAUCAUGUCGUUGUAACUACUCUGAAUCGAGACUUUUUUUCAAGAAGCCCACUGAUUGGCGACCACGCAUUUCAAGGGACUUUAUGAUAUCAGUUGCAUCUGAAACAUCAAAACAAACUCUGGAUUGUACUGGAAAAGUCUCACAGCUGCCGGUUCAGGCGUUGACUCUUCAGGCAUCAAACCUUACGUCUGAAGAUCUUACAUUGAUCAUACUUGCUCCAGCAUCAGUGACUCCUGCUCCUUCAGUGCUGUCACUAAAUUCUACACCAUCAUCACCAAUGAGCCCAUUUAGGGGUUUUGCUACAACACAAAGAUUAGGCACAGUAACUCGUUCUACAGAGGAUAAAUCACCAAGUGGCGCACAGUCUCUUUCUUCUGAUCAGCAGGGUAUUUCAGUUGCUGAUGUCAUUCCAACAACUGCUUCGAGCUGUACUCACUUGUGGUUGCAUAGUAGGGUUCCAUUAGGAUGUGUUCCUUCUCAAUCUACUGCCAAGAUCAAGCUUGAGCUGCUGCCACUGACAGAUGGCAUAAUUACGCUUGAUACUUUGCAGAUUUAUGUUAAGGAGACAGGUCUAACUUAUAUCCCUGAGAAUGCGCUGAAGAUCAAUGCAACUUCUAGCAUUGCUACUGGAAUCAUCUAAGCUAGCUACCGGCGGUUGGUCAUUCACAUUCUUUGUAUUUGUAUGUUCUCUCCUUGAUGAAGAAACCCAAAAUUAAGAGGGGUGUUUCCCUCCCGUUGUACAUCACCACCUUUUUUUUUUGCAUUAAUGUAGGAUAUAAAUUCGAGGUGCUCGUAUUUCUACCUCCAGAAUUAGAGGCUGUAUUUAUGUCUCGAGGUUUGUUUCUGAGGCACUGUUAUAUCUAUCAUCAGCAUGAUGGAGAUGUUACAGGAAUUGCGAGUUUUCUGAGAUAAUCCAGGUGCUUUGCAUGGCAGUCUACCUCACUGUACUUUCCAAUCUUCUCUUGUCAGUUGUCACUAAGUACUCGAUACUGGCAUAUCGGGCCGUUAAACCCAGUCCAUUAUACGUGAAAGCGUAUCCCAGCACCUAAUCGCCAACGAUUUGAUUUACCCUCCUAAUCGCCAACGAUUUGAUUUACCCUCUGUUAUUGGCAAGAUAUUGUUUAGGAACUUACAAAAAAAAAGACAUUAUAUUAGUGUGAGGUGAUUUAUUAUAAGAAAGUGUAUAAUUGGAUAGUUUUCCCAAAA